rnacentral:rRNA from 1 species
GAUGAACGCUGGCGGCGUGCCUAAUACAUGCAAGUCGAGCGAACAGACGAGGAGCUUGCUCCUCUGACGUUAGCGGCGGACGGGUGAGUAACACGUGGAUAACCUACCUAUAAGACUGGGAUAACUUCGGGAAACCGGAGCUAAUACCGGAUAAUAUAUUGAACCGCAUGGUUCAAUAGUGAAAGACGGUUUUGCUGUCACUUAUAGAUGGAUCCGCGCCGCAUUAGCUAGUUGGUAAGGUAACGGCUUACCAAGGCGACGAUGCGUAGCCGACCUGAGAGGGUGAUCGGCCACACUGGAACUGAGACACGGUCCAGACUCCUACGGGAGGCAGCAGUAGGGAAUCUUCCGCAAUGGGCGAAAGCCUGACGGAGCAACGCCGCGUGAGUGAUGAAGGUCUUCGGAUCGUAAAACUCUGUUAUUAGGGAAGAACAAAUGUGUAAGUAACUAUGCACGUCUUGACGGUACCGAAUCAGAAAGCCACGGCUAACUACGU